UACGAGGGGGGCGAGCGUUGUUCGGAAUUAUUGGGCGUAAAGGGUGCGUAGGCGGCUUGGUAAGUCUGAUGUGAAAUCUAUGGGCUCAACUCAUAGUCUGCAUCGGAAACUGCCGGGCUUGAGUAUGGGAGAGGUGAGUGGAACUGCGAGUGUAGAGGUGAAAUUCGUAGAUAUUCGCAAGAACACCAGUGGCGAAGGCGGCUCACUGGCCCGGUACUGACGCUGAGGUGCGAAAGCGUGGGGAGCAAACAGG
rnacentral:rRNA from 1 species